GAUGAACGCUGGCGGCGUGCCUAAUACAUGCAAGUCGAGCGAACAGACGAGGAGCUUGCUCCUCUGACGUUAGCGGCGGACGGGUGAGUAACACGUGGAUAACCUACCUAUAAGACUGGGAUAACUUCGGGAAACCGGAGCUAAUACCGGAUAAUAUAUUGAACCGCAUGGUUCAAUAGUGAAAGACGGUUUUGCUGUCACUUAUAGAUGGAUCCGCGCCGCAUUAGCUAGUUGGUAAGGUAACGGCUUACCAAGGCAACGAUGCGUAGCCGACCUGAGAGGGUGAUUGGCCACACGGGAACUGAGACACGGUCGAGACUCCUACGGGAGGCAGCAGUAGGGAAUCUUCCGCAAUGGGCGAAAGCGUGACGGAGCAACGCCGCGUGAGUGAUGAAGGUCUUCGGAUCGGAAAACUCUGUUAUUAGGGAAGAACAAAUGUGUAAGUAACUAUGCACGUCUUGACGGUACCUAAUCAGAAAGCCACGGCUAACUACGUG
rnacentral:rRNA from 1 species